rnacentral:lncRNA from 1 species
ACAUUUGUGUUAUCCGAUCCAGUUGCGAUGAUCGCAAUUUUGCGCUAGCAACGCCGUUUUUUUUUUUUAAUUCAUAUUUUUUUUAUAUACAUAUAUUUAGAUCUGCACAUUUUUUUUCAUAACUAACUACCCUGAUUUUUCCUAAACCCUGACAAUUUCGCCACAAACUCUAAAUUUCAAACCUAAAACUUUAACCGUGUUGUUUCCUCUAAACCAUAAACCUUUUCUUAAACCUUAACAAAC